CUCUCUUUGCCAAUUUCCAUUCUGCAACGGAAGAGGGGGGUAUUUUCUGAAAAGCUUAGAGUGCAAUAGCCACAUGCCAACUGUUUGAAACUAAGCUACUUCAUGGACCUGGUGAUACCCUGCCAUAGCGUGUAAGUAAGUGAGAGACAGACAGGAGAGGUGGCCCAUCAAGUGACAAAGAUGAAUUGAUCAUGAAAAAUCCUCCAACGGGGCAUUGGAAGAUGGUUCAGCGUGGGAAGGUGAACUAUGCACAGACAGCCUGGUCUCUAGGAGCACAGGCUUGGUACCCAGGAGACCUGGUGGGCAGUGACUUCUGCCUUCAUGGGAAGGUUGGAGUUCAGCCCCACCUCCUGGGCCCCUGGCUCCUGUCGCAGCUACAGUCUCUCACAGCCCCCUGCAGAGAGGUGCCUCAAGCUCCUGGUAUUCUGUCUGGACUCCACCCCCACAGUUA